rnacentral:rRNA from 1 species
GAUGAACGCUGGCGGCGUGCCUAACACAUGCAAGUCGAACGGAGAUUACGGACGGAAGUUUUCGGAUGGAAGACUGUAAUUCUUAGUGGCGGACGGGUGAGUAACGCGUGGGCAACCUGCCCUAUACAGGGGGAUAGCAGCUGGAAACGGCUGGUAAGACCGCAUAAGUCGGUUAAAUCGCAUGAUUUGAUCGGGAAAUGAGCAAUCAGGUAUAGGAUGGGCCCGCGUCCGAUUAGCCAGUUGGCAGGGUAAAAGCCUACCAAAGCGACGAUCGGUAGCCGGACUGAGAGGUCGGACGGCCACAUUGGGACUGAGACACGGCCCAAGCUCCUACGGGAAGCAGCAGUGGGGGAUAUUGCACAAUGGAGGAAACUCUGAUGCAGCGACGCCGCGUGAGUGAAGAAGUAUUUCGGUAUGUAAAGCUCUAUCAGCAGGGAAGAUGAUGACGGUACCUGACUAAGAAGCCCCGGCUAACUACGUG